rnacentral:rRNA from 1 species
GUUGACCUCGAAUCAGGUAGGACUACCCGCUGAACUUAAGCAUAUCAAUAAGCGGAGGAAAAGAAACCAACAGGGAUUGCCCCAGUAACGGCGAGUGAAGCGGCAACAGCUCAAAUUUGAAAUCUGGCUCUCAGGGCCCGAGUUGUAAUUUGUAGAGGAUGCUUUUGGCGAGGUGCCUUCCGAGUUCCCUGGAACGGGACGCCACAGAGGGUGAGAGCCCCGUAUGGUCGGACACCGAGCCUCUGUAAAGCUCCUUCGACGAGUCGAGUAGUUUGGGAAUGCUGCUCAAAAUGGGAGGUAUAUGUCUUCUAAAGCUAAAUAUUGGCCAGAGACCGAUAGCGCACAAGUAGAGUGAUCGAAAGAUGAAAAGCACUUUGAAAAGAGGGUUAAAAAGUACGUGAAAUUGUUGAAAGGGAAGCGCCUAUGACCAGACUUGCGCCCGGUGAAUCACCCAGCGUUCUCGCUGGUGCACUUUGCCGGGCACAGGCCAGCAUCAGUUCAGCCGCGGGGGGAGAAAAGGCUUCGGGAAUGUGGCUCCCUCGGGAGUGUUAUAGCCCGCUGCGUAAUGCCCUGCGCCGGACUGAGGUACGCGCAUUGCAAGGAUGCUGGCGUAAUGGUCAUCAGCGACCCGUCUUGAAACACGGACCAAGGAGUCGUCUUCGUAUGCGAGUGUUCGGGUGUCAAACCCCUACGCGUAAUGAAAGUGAACGUAGGUGAGAGCUUCGGCGCAUCACCGACCGAUCCUGAUGUUCUCGGAUGGAUUUGAGUAAGAGCAUACGGGGCCGGACCCGAAAGAAGGUGAACUAUGCCUGUAUAGGGUGAAGCCAGAGGAAACUCUGGUGGAGGCUCGCAGCGGUUCUGACGUGCGAAUCGAUCGUCAAAUAUGGGCAUGGGGGCGAAAGACUAAUCGAACCUUCUAGUAGCUGGUUUCCGCCGAAGUUUCCCUCAGGAUAGCAGUGUUGAACUCAGUUUUAUGAGGUAAAGCGAAUGAUUAGGGACUCGGGGGCGCUAUAUUGCCUUCAUCCAUUCUCAAACUUUAAAUAUGUAAGAAGCCCUUGUUACUUGAUUGAACGUGGGCAUUCGAA